rnacentral:rRNA from 1 species
AGGUUACUGCUAUCGGUGUUCGCCUAAGCCAUGCGAGUCAUAUGUUCUUCGUGAACAUGGCGUACUGCUCAGUAACACGUGGAUAACCUGCCCUUGGGUCCGGCAUAACCCCGGGAAACUGGGGAUAAUUCCGGAUAACGCAUAUAUGCUGGAAUGCUUUCUGCGUAAAAUGGAUUCGUCUGCCCAAGGAUGGGUCUGCGGCCUAUCAGGUAGUAGUGGGUGUAAUGUACCUACUAGCCGACGACGGGUACGGGUUGUGAGAGCAAGAGCCCGGAGAUGGAUUCUGAGACAUGAAUCCAGGCCCUACGGGGCGCAGCAGGCGCGAAAACUUUACAAUGCGGGAGACCGUGAUAAGGGGACACCGAGUGCCAGCAUCAUAUGCUGGCUGUCCGGGUGUGUAAAAUACACCCGUUAGCAAGGGCCGGGCAAGACCGGUGCCAGCCGCCGCGGUAACACCGGCGGCCCGAGUGGUGAUCGUGAUUAUUGGGUCUAAAGGGUCCGUAGCCGGUUUGGUCAGUCCUCCGGGAAAUCUGAUAGCUCAACUAUUAGGCUUUCGGGGGAUACUGCCAGGCUUGGAACCGGGAGAGGUAAGAGGUACUACAGGGGUAGGAGUGAAAUCUUGUAAUCCCUGUGGGACCACCUGUGGCGAAGGCGUCUUACCAGAACGGGUUCGACGGUGAGGGACGAAAGCUGGGGGCACGAACCGGAUUAGAUACCCGGGUAGUCCCAGCCGUAAACGAUGCUCGCUAGGUGUCAGGCAUGGCGCGACCGUGUCUGGUGCCGCAGGGAAGCCGUGAAGCGAGCCACCUGGGAAGUGCGGCCGCAAGGCUGAAACUUAA